CUGAAGCGAAAGCGGAAGGACCUUCGGGAGCCGUCACAGGUGCUGCAUGGCUGUCGUCAGCUCGUGCCGUGAGGUGUUGGGUUAAGUCCCGCAACGAGCGCAACCCUCGUCGUUAGUUACACUCACUAGCGAGACAGCCUCCCGCAAGGAGGAGGAAGGUGGGGACGACGUCAAGUCAUCAUGGCCCUUAUGUCCAGGGCUACACACACGCUACAAUGGCCGGUACAAUGGGUUGCUAAAGCGCGAGCUGGAGCCAAUCCCACCAAAGCCGGCCCCAGUUGGGAUUGCAGGCUGAAACCCGCCUGCAUGAACGCGGAAUCGCUAGUAACCGCAGGUCAGCAUACUGCGGUGAAUACGUUCCCGGGCCUUGUACACACCGCCCGUA
rnacentral:rRNA from 1 species